rnacentral:lncRNA from 1 species
AGGUGAAUCAUUCCUUUGAUGGAAAUAAAAUAACAAGAUAAUAAAAUAAAAAAGAUACCUACUUUCUCCAUGGUGUCCUGCUAAGAGAGGAAGGAGUUCUCUUCAAGCGAUCUCGACAAGUGCAACAGCAAGAGGAAGAGAGAAGAAAUCAAGGUAUUGGAUUUGUGAAGUUCAUCUGUAACUCCAAGAUUAAUGUAAGCUAUCUUCAAGGAUUUCUUGGAAGAAAUCAAAGGCAUCUCUAAAGAUCUUUUAGAAAGCAUUAAACAAAUUAUUAGUGAGAUCUUUCCAUCAUUUAUUGUUAUCCAUAUUUCUCUCUAGUGAUAUUAUUGUUUAAACU